AAAACAGCGUUGAUAAGGAAUAUUAUAUAUUCACUUGAUUUCAGAGAGAGAAUGGUUGGUGCGAAUUCUUAAGAUGGUGAUAUAAAAGGCGCCUUUGAGCUAUGGAUUGAACAGGAAAUUCCUUAGUAGAUACCAUCGGAAUCCCACCGUUAUCUUCGGGAACAGCAUAAAGAUGAUACACUUUCUCGUGCUGAUAAAGUGCAGAUUAAGCAAGAUAAACCAGUAACUGAUUUACUUGUAAAUAUCUGAAUUUAGGUGGUACCGCGGAUUAUAUUCGCCCUAAGC
rnacentral:ncRNA from 1 species